rnacentral:rRNA from 1 species
GACGAACGCUGGCGGCGUGCUUAACACAUGCAAGUCGAACGGAAAGGCCUUUUCGGAGGUACUCGAGUGGCGAACGGGUGAGUAACACGUGGGUGAUCUGCCCUGCACUCUGGGAUAAGCCUGGGAAACUGGGUCUAAUACCGGAUAGGACCGCACUUCAGUGUGUGUGGUGGAAAGUUUUUUCGGUGUAGGAUGAGCCCGCGGCCUAUCAGCUUGUUGGUGGGGUAAUGGCCUACCAAGGCGGCGACGGGUAGCCGGACUGAGAGGUUGGUCGGCCACAUUGGGACUGAGAUACGGCCCAGACGCCGACGGGAGGCAGCAGUGGGGAAUAUUGCACAAUGGGCGCAAGCCUGAUGCAGCGACGCCGCGUGGGGGAUGACGGCCUUCGGGUUGUAAACUCCUUUCGCCAGGGACGAAGCGUUUUGUGACGGUACCUGGAGAAGAAGCACCGGCUAACUACGUG